UACGUAGGGUGCAAGCGUUAAUCGGAAUUACUGGGCGUAAAGCGUGCGCAGGCGGCUUUGCAAGACAGAUGUGAAAUCCCCGGGCUUAACCUGGGAACUGCAUUUGUGACUGCAAGGCUAGAGUACGGUAGAGGGGGGAUGGAAUUCCGCGUGUAGCAGUGAAAUGCGUAGAUAUGCGGAGGAACACCGAUGGCGAAGGCAAUCCCCCUGGGCCUGCACUGACGCUCAUGCACGAAAGCGUGGGGAGCAAACAGG
rnacentral:rRNA from 1 species